rnacentral:rRNA from 1 species
AUACGUAGGGUGCGAGCGUUAAUCGGAAUUACUGGGCGUAAAGCGUGCGCAGGUGGUUUUGUAAGUCAGAUGUGAAAUCCCCGGGCUUAACCUGGGAACUGCGUUUGAAACUACAAGGCUAGAGUGUGGCAGAGGGGGGUGGAAUUCCGCGUGUAGCAGUGAAAUGCGUAGAGAUGCGGAGGAACACCGAUGGCGAAGGCAGCCCCCUGGGUCAGCACUGACGCUCAGGCACGAAAGCAUGGGGAGCAAACAGGAUUAGAUACCCCGGUAGUCC